GAUAAAAAUACAUUUUUUUAAUGGUUCUGGUUCCACACGAAAUCAUAUCGAACUCGUUAGUGACCCCAGAUCUUACCAGAGAUACUGCAUUUGCGGGAAACAUGGUUA
rnacentral:rRNA from 1 species